rnacentral:rRNA from 1 species
ACGGAGGAUCCGAGCGUUAUCAGGAUUCACUGGGUUUAAAGGGUGCGCAGGCGGGCCCCUCAGUCAGCGGUGAAAGUCUGCGGCUCAACCGUAGGAUUGCCGUUGAUACUGGGGGUCUUGGAUUCGCUCGAGGCGGGCGGAAUGUGGGGUGUAGCGGUGAAAUGCUUAGAUAUGACGCAGAACGCCGAUUGCGAAGGCAGCUCGCCGAGUCGAUAUCGACGCUCAUGCACGAAAGCGUGGUGAUCGAACAG